GGUCCUCCCCUGCAUGCCAGUUUUGAGACUUAGUCACUGACACUCUCAUCCAGACAACAGUAACAGGCAGAACAUUGUUAUUAGACAGCAUCAGACCCAAAAGUAAACGAAAUGCCUUUUCCGAUUCUUGGGGCUAUUGGUGCGUUUGUUGGUGCGACUGGUGUUAGUACUGGAAUCGGGGUGGCCAUUGAUAGCGCGAUUCACCAUAACACCCAUGUGGCAAAUGCGUCCAAUGAAGUUCUUCUGAUUCAAAUCAACGGGCCAGAUGGAACCGUCGCUGAACAGCAAGUCAAGACAAGAGACGUCGUAAAUUUCGGCACUAUAAAAGGCCAAGUUCAAACAACUGUCUAUAAAGCAGACAAGCCAGAUUCAUAUGAGGCCAGGAGGGAACUGCCCCUCUGACAUCAGCGUUCUCGUCAGAGAAGACAACGGGCACCUUCAAAUUGUACGGGUGAAAUAUGGCACACUUUGGCAGGAAGAUGAGUAAAAUGUACAAAGCUAUGUAAGCUAUAAUGACCCCUAAUAACUCAUUCAGGCUGCGACUGACGACCUGUAUGAUAAAAGGAUAAUAAAGCACAGCUGUUUGACGUUAUAUUUCAUUAGCCACCUUUACUAAAUUGAUUUGAAAGUAAUGAGACAUAUAAUUGAAGGUGUUUGACACCAAAUGUAAUUUUGCUUAUGAGUUCAAUUUAAUUACUAGUUUAUUUACAAUAGUUGACCAUUACUCAAAUGUUUUUCCCCCUUUCAAAUAUGCCUUAAAAUAGGAAUUAAAGUUGAAAAAAACUA